AACGAACGCGUGGCGGCGUGCCUAACACAUGCAAGUCGUGCGAGAAAGUUCCUUCGGGAGCGAGUAAAGCGGCGCACGGGUGAGUAACACGUAGGUAACCUGCCCCCCAGUCUGGAACAACUAGAGGAAACUCUAGCUAAUGCCGGAUGAGACCACGAUCCCUUCGGGGGUUGCGGCCAAAGAUGGCCUCUACUUGUAAGCUAUCGCUGAGGGAUGGGCCUGCGGGCCAUUAGCUUGUUGGUGAGGUAACGGCUCACCAAGGCUGUGAUGGCUAGCUGGUCUGAGAGGAUGACCAGCCACACUGGGACUGAGACACGG
rnacentral:rRNA from 1 species